rnacentral:lncRNA from 1 species
CAUCUGUGCCUAGAACGACUGAUAGGAAUCGAUACGUGUAGCCAACUCAUCAGCUCACUGUCGAUCCUUAGUAGCCUGUUUCUGUAUCUCCACUAGCCUUUUGGGUACUCAGAUGGAAUCACCUUAUUAUUGGAAUGACUGGAUGACAACAACCUACCAUCAAAUCUUUUUGAAUCAAAUUUUGAGUUUUUGGAUGGCAAGAACCUGCUAUUAGAUCAUUUGGACAAAAG